CAUUACUCCUUUAUGACUGUAGUUUUGCUACUGUUAUGAAUUACAUUGUAAUUGUCUGUGUUUUCUGAUUUUAGGUGACCCUUGUGAAAGGGUCAUUUGACCCCAAAGGGGUCUCAACGCCAGGUUGAGAACCAUUGGUCUAAACUGUUACUCCAGCUUCACGCUAUCCCAGGGUGACCUUCCGUGCUUUCCUGCUCUAGUCACUCAGUUCAAGUGCACACACGCUUCCCUGCAGCACAUCCUUUGCCUUCCCCUGUAACAUUUAGUCACGGAUCCAGAGGCUGACCUUUUCUGUCUCAUGUUUCUGUUUUCAAAGGAUUCUCUUAUUAGCAACCUGUUGCGUCUCAUACAAACCAUGCGGCCUCCAGCUAAGCCUUCUACUAGCAAAGAUCCAGUUGUUAAACCCAAAACUGAAAAGGAAAAGCUGAAGGAACUCUUCCCUGUCCUUUGCCAGCCAGACAACCCUUCAGUGCGGGUACAGAUUCUCUUGGGGAAUGUCUUCCCUGGCAUGUGCUCUGUCUCUUUGCAUCUCCUUAGCAACAGUGUGAAUUUUAACCUUGUCUGUUGUAUGAUGUUUUUCGGAGUAAGACUAUAAAUCAAAGGUCCAGAGAAUGAUAGUCAAGGGCCAUGAGCUUGGGGACUUGGGGAAGCAGUGGUGAGGGAUAUGAAAUGACUUUAGAUUCUCACAAAGGUGCCCAGUGUACAAAAGUAGAAUAUUUUUUCUGUAUUAAAUGUUAAAGGAUGUAAUUUUUGAAAUGUUUUAUUUAUAACAUUUUUAUUUUAGGAUAGGUAUGCUGGUGAAUCCCUUUCAUUUUAGCAUUUGGGAGGCAGAGGCAGGAGGAUCUCUGAGUCCAAGGCCAGCCUGGUCUACAUAUCAAGUUCUAGGACAGCCAGGGCCAUAUAGAGAGACUGUUUAAAAAGAAAAAUCCCAGUGUUUGAGAAACAGGUUUAAUCAUAAACAGGA
rnacentral:lncRNA from 1 species